GACGAACGCUGGCGGCGUGCCUAAUACAUGCAAGUCGAGCGAAGUUUUUCUGGUGCUUGCACUAGAAAAACUUAGCGGCGAACGGGUGAGUAACACGUAAAGAACCUGCCUCAUAGACUGGGACAACUAUUGGAAACGAUAGCUAAUACCGGAUAACAGUAUUUCUCGCAUGAGAGAUAUUUAAAAGUUGGUUAUGCUAACACUAUGAGAUGGCUUUGCGGUGCAUUAGCUAGUUGGUGGGGUAAAGGCCCACCAAGGCGACGAUGCAUAGCCGACCUGAGAGGGUGAUCGGCCACACUGGGACUGAGACACGGCCCAGACUCCUACGGGAGGCAGCAGUAGGGAAUCUUCCGCAAUGGGCGAAAGCCUGACGGAGCAACGCCGCGUGAGUGAAGAAGGAUUUCGGUUCGUAAAGCUCUGUUGUUAGGGAAGAAUGGGUAUGUAGUAACUAUACAUGUAAGAGACGGUACCUAACCAGAAAGCCACGGCUAACUACGUG
rnacentral:rRNA from 1 species